rnacentral:lncRNA from 1 species
UAUGGCCUUUCCUCCCACCCACCCUUCUCACAGAAGUGUGUUGUGUAGGCCUUCACCUUCCGUUUACCUCUGUCUUCUUUCUGUAGUACAUUGUUCUGGAUUAGCUCAUUCUGUCCUGUGUCUUCCCUGGUCACCUCUACACUGCUGACCCGCAGCCAUUCCUCCAGGCUAGUUUUCUUCGUCCUUAGAUUCAGCCUGUCGUGAGAAGAAAUUAGUGUUUUAACCCGGUUUAACACUAAGAAUGAACGGUGGUUUGAACUGUCUUUGUCCACAGGAGACACUGAAUAUGCCGUGAAUCUUCUAGAAAGCGCUAGCUACUCUACAACAGUGGACACAGUUUUCUUCUUGACCUUCUUGUGUUUCCAAACCCCAAAGCCAGCUCGAGUUAAGGAGAAAAAUGGAAGCGGCCUCACUACAACCAGGAGUUGGGUGAUCAGCACCGUUGUGGAGAAGGCAGCACCACAGCUAGAAAGGAGGCCAAGGCAAAAGGGUAAACGUGUAAGGGCAGGAGGAAGUUGUGCUUGACACUGCACUUGCAUCAGUUUAAGUGAAUUCAGCUCAGCUCUGUAUCAUUUGUCAACACAGAAUCAGCUGACUCUCCUCUAAGUCAAGGCUCGCAGUCUCAGUUCAGUCACUUGAAACUAUGCUCUGUCUUGGGUCAGGAGACGAUCAAACAACAGAGCAUAGCCCUUUGGUAUGUGUAUACUAUGUGAGUCCAGAAAUAUGACAGUAGAAGAAAGAAAAUGAGUACGUAUGUUGGUGAAAGUCGAGGAGGCAUAAGUUUAAGCAGUAAAACGGGAUAAAAGUUGUUCUUAAAGAACUGAAAGGCUUGUUCUAUGCUUAGCUGUCCCAGGGCUCACUCUCAUGUUAUCCAAGAUAUAACUGAAAUAUACUACCUUGAAAUAUAGUAUUUACCCCAAUAAAAUGAAGCUCUUUCCCCAUAUUCUGUCUUGGGCUAAAAGAAAUUACCUUAUAUUUAAGUUUUUUAUAAACUUUCUUGUAUUGUGCAAAUAAUUUCUCAGUCAGGUUAAUUGAAUUAUAAAGCAUGUUGGUUCAUAAAUCAUGAGUAUUUAAAGAAGUCAAGAAUCAGCUUUAAAAAUGCAGGCCAAGAGACUUGUCCAUGUCAACCACAGUCCCUGAUGUGGAAAGGUAUUGCACUAGAUACACACACAUCCCCUUACUUAAUCCCUAACUCUAAGCUCCCUUUUCUUUCUCUCUCUCUCUUUUUUUUGAGACAGGGUCUCAC